AUGGCGACGGAUUGCGGUUUGGAUACUACAGUUCGGUAUAGCGAUCACAGCAUCGAUAGUGUCGUCCGCGUCCAUGCUACAGAUAUCCGGCGCGGACACUAAGCAAUCUCGAUGGUACCAGUGCAACGAGAUAUCCGGCGACUGCAGCAGGAUACCGCUCUGUGCUCGAUAGUAUGUGAGAACGGCAACCGGCAAAACAGCGCUGGAUUUUGAGGGCUAUUUUCUAGCGCUAUACAGUCAAGCACUACGCAAGCCCACUUGCCACCAAGCCAAUGAGUUGUGCCUCACAGUCAGUGCAAUCAAGGGAAUCUAUCACUGAGGCUCAGAAAAGCUGUUUUCCAUCGGGAUCUGAUCCAGGACUGAGCCGCUCCUCCUAAUGGCCAUACUCCCUUUGGCAUACACGGCACUGCUCGUCAGACUGUCGUCGUUGUCGUCGUUUAUGC